rnacentral:lncRNA from 1 species
GGGCAAACGCCAAUGCAGCCUCUUCUGGGCUUGGGCUGGAACUUGAACUCUGAAGCCUGGGGAGGAGGGAAGGGGCCCAAGUCACCGUGUCUGCACUGCUGUUCCCAGUGCCAUAGCCUGAGCCUGAGGUUAGAGAUGUUUUAUGGCAGGUUUUAAAAUCUCGCAGUGUAGAGGUUCUCCUUAGGGCUAGGGCCUGGAGCUGGCUAACCCCGUCCAACUAGCCCUGCCUGCCAUCUCUGGGAUGGGCUCUGGGGUACAUCAGUAGAACCAGUCUGGGUCUGGAGCAGCGCUUCUCUACCUGGGACAUCCUCAGGGCCAAACAGGUGGUAUUGAAUGUGGCCCACACAACACAUGUUUGGUCCACAAUGGAAACCAGGUUGAGAAGCACUGGCCUGGAGGAGCUGAUUGUGGUAGAAAGAGCAACAGGAAGUUGCAGAGAUGGAGGAAAGACUACUGCAGGGAAGCACUUGAGAGCAGGGCUGAGAGCAGUUUGCUAAGGCAGGGGAGGCCCUGGGAUAUCAGGGGAGUUUGGGCUGUGCCCACGGUAAGGUUUUAGGGAAGGCUUUUGUGUGUGUUUCUGAGCUUUAAGAUGCUAAACCAGACCUCAGGAAGACUGGGGUUCCUGGACUUGUCAAAGCCUCUUUCUUGAGAUUAUGGAGGAGCCAAGAUGGGCAGCUGAGGUGAGAGGCGGCUUGCAGGGCUGCCAGGAGGGGUUACUUGGGAAGAGGCCACUCAUUGAUAAAUCCAUCUCUCAACUUUCUGGCAUUCUUCCAGAUUGGAGACAUCGUGGGAUGUAUCUCAAUCUGGCUGGACGGCAUCUGUGAUCCCAGAGCCAGAAAAGCAGCGCUGAGGGCCACGGCCUUGCUGGCUCGUUCCCACCCCCAGGACGUGGUUCUGAGCUAUGUGGCGCACACGCUGUCAUCGGACAGGCAAUGAGGACCAUUUACGAGGUCCUUUUCCUAUGGGGAUACCGAGAAGCCAUCCUGGAAAUGUAUCCCCAGAUGCUCAUCCCUCCCUUAGGCAAGUGCAGUAUGUGAUGGAUCUGCGCUUGCCAGGAACCCAUAUGCCAGCAAGACGUCCAGCCCCGAGGAGGGUUCCAACUGCCUCAGCCCCCUAA